GAUGAACGCUGGCGGCGUGCUUAACACAUGCAAGUCGAACGAAGCAUUUAAGACAGAUUUUUUCGGAAUGAAGUUUUUUAUGACUGAGUGGCGGACGGGUGAGCAACGCGUGGGUAACCUGCCUCACACAGGGGGAUAGCAGUUGGAAACGACUGGUAAUACCGCAUAAGCGCACAGCUUCGCAUGAAGCGGCGUGAAAAACUCCGGUGGUGUGAGAUGGACCCGCGUCUGAUUAGGUAGUUGGUGAGGUAACGGCCCACCAAGCCGACGAUCAGUAGCCGACCUGAGAGGGUGACCGGCCACAUUGGGACUGAGACACGGCCCAGACUCCUACGGGAGGCAGCAGUGGGGAAUAUUGCACAAUGGAGGAAACUCUGAUGCAGCGACGCCGCGUGAGUGAAGAAGUAUUUCGGUAUGUAAAGCUCUAUCAGCAGGGAAGACAGUGACGGUACCUGACUAAGAAGCUCCGGCUAAAUACGUGCCAGCAGCCGCAGUAAUAC
rnacentral:rRNA from 1 species